UACGAAGGGGGCUAGCGUUGUUCGGAUUAACUGGGCGUAAAGGGUGCGUAGGCGGGUUUUUAAGUCAGGGGUGAAAUCCCGAGGCUCAACCUCGGAACUGCCUUUGAUACUGGAAAUCUUGAGUCUGGGAGAGGUGAGUGGAACUGCGAGUGUAGAGGUGAAAUUCGUAGAUAUUCGCAAGAACACCGGUGGCGAAGGCGGCUCACUGGCCCGGAACUGACGCUGAUGCACGAAAGCUAGGGGAGCAAACAGG
rnacentral:rRNA from 1 species